GGACAAACUUCCCAGUUGAGGGAGAGGAGAGGCCGCAUCGGAGGGCGGAGGCGCAGAGAUGGGGCUGCGGGGGAGCAGGUCCCCAGAGGGCCCGGGCUGCGGGGGAGCAGGUCCCAGGGCCGCAGAGGGCCAGGCUGCGGGGGAGCAGGUCCCAGGGCCGCGGAGGGCCCGACUGCGGGGGAGCAGGUCCCAGGGCCGCGGAGGGCCGGGCUGUGGGGGAGCAGGUCCCAGGGCCGCGGAGGGCCCGGGCUGCGGGGGAGCAGGUCCCAGGGCCGCGGAGGGCCGGGCUGUGGGGGAGCAGGUCCCAGGGCCGCGGAGGGCCCGGGCUGCGGGGGAGCAGGUCCCAGGGCCGCGGAGGGCCGGGCUGUGGGGGAGCAGGUCCCAGGGCCGCGGAGGGCCCGGGCUGCGGGGGAGCAGGUCCCAGGGCCGCGGAGGGCCGGGCUGUGGGGGAGCAGGUCCCAGGGCCGCGGAGGGCCCGGGCUGCGGGGGAGCAGGUCCCAGGGCCGCGGAGGGCCGGGCUGUGGGGGAGCAGGUCCCAGGGCCGCGGAGGGCCCGGGCUGCGGGGGAGCAGGUCCCAGGGCCGCGGAGGGCCGGGCUGUGGGGGAGCAGGUCCCAGGGCCGCGGAGGGCCCGGGCUGCGGGGGAGCAGGUCCCAGGGCCGCGGAGGGCCGGGCUGUGGGGGAGCAGGUCCCAGGGCCGCGGAGGGCCCGGGCUGCGGGGGAGCAGGUCCCAGGGCCGCGGAGGGCCGGGCUGUGGGGGAGCAGGUCCCAGGGCCGCGGAGGGCCCGGGCUGCGGGGGAGCAGGUCCCAGGGCCGCGGAGGGCCGGGCUGUGGGGGAGCAGGUCCCAGGGCCGCGGAGGGCCGGGCUACGGGGGAGCAGGUCCCCAGAGGGCCCGGGCUGCGGGGGAGCAGGUCCCAGGGCCGCGGAGGGCCGGGCCGCGGGUAGCAGGUCCCAGGGCCGCCCACUCGGAAGCUGAGUGGCUGAAUUCCAGGGGGUCUCGCAAGCAGCAGGCCUGGCGCCAGGGUCCUAAAGGGCAUCUGGAACAGACUGAUGAGACACUAUGGACCACUCUCAAAAAAUAGAGGCAGUCACAAAGCUUGGGACUUUGCAUUUUUCAAGGAGUACACAAGUACAUUUUUUUUCUAUUCUUAAUACAAUAGUAAUUGUAGGAGUAUUUAUUAAUGUUGAAUAAGAAAAAGAUUGGUUAUGAAUCACAAGUUACAAGCCCAAGGGGCUGCUUUUGUACUGCUGUUUUAAAUUAUAAGCAGCAUUUAUAUACUUUUUCUAAUAUAGCCCUAAUUUCAGGAGAAUUGGUGGUAGGCUUGUUUAUUUAUAGCAUAUGUUAUCUUUUUAAGAUGUUAUUUAUUUGAAUUAGAGCCAAAGAGAGAGAGAGAGAGAGAGAGAGAGCAUGAGUUGUGGGGAGGGACAGAGGGAGAAGGAGAAGCAGGCUCCCCACUGAGCAGGGAGCCUGAUGAGGGGCUCAAAUCCCAGGACCCUGGGAUCAUGACCUGAGAUGAAGGCAGACACUUAAGUGACUGAGCUACCCAGGCAUCCCUAUAGCAUAUGUUCUUUAAACAAUUACCUAGAAUGGUUAAACGUUCUUAAAUAGGUUGUGUAUGCUAUUUCAGAACUUUCAGCUUUUUUUCUUUUUUAAAAAAUAACAUUGCUGAUUAUAAAAAUAAUUUCUGUUAAUUCAUUGUAAAAUGAAUGACAAUAUAGAGUAAUGUAAAGAAGAAACUUUUUCCUAUUCUCAUCAUAUAAAGUCUCUAUUUUUUUAAUAUUUAGCUUAUAGUAAAUUUUAAACUUUAUUUUAACAAUGCUAGGAUCUUACCUUAAAUAUUAUUUUGCUUUUUGAUUUUGUAAUUCAAUUCUAUAUCAUAAGCAUUCUCAUAUUGUGUGUUUCUGAAAAAUACAAAAACUCAAUGGUUUUAAUUUGAUAAAUGCAUUGUAUUUAAUUUAUACUAUAAAACUGGUCAUAUAUCCCUAUUUUCAUAUAGACUUAAAUGGAAAAAGGUUUAACACAAUAGUUCCUAAGUAAUCAGAAUCUAAGUUUUCAUUUGUAUAAAAUCAGAGCUAACAACC
rnacentral:lncRNA from 1 species